CCACGGGCUGGCGCCCGUGGCUACACUCUUACGCCGCUCCGCGGCU
rnacentral:sRNA from 1 species